rnacentral:rRNA from 1 species
UACAGAGGCCACGAGCGUUAAUCGGAAUCACUGGGCUUAAAGGGUGCGUAGGCUGAUCUGCAAGUGCUUUGUGAAAGCCCUAGGCUCAACCUAGGAAUUGCUUGGCAGACUGCAGAUCUUGAGGCAGACAGAGGCCGCUGGAACUCUAGGUGGAGCGGUGAAAUGCGUAGAUAUCUAGAGGAACGCCAAUGGUGAAGACAGGCGGCUGGGUCUGUUCUGACGCUGAGGCACGAAAGCGUGGGGAGCAAACGGG